rnacentral:lncRNA from 1 species
UUUUCAAAAAAUCAAAAUCUAUUUUUCUCCUAGUUGUAACAGCCCUAGAAGAAAAACAAAUUGAUCUUUUUGAUCUAGAAGAAGAUGGAGAUGGUGAAGAGAUCGGAGGAGAGGGCUGAGCGGAGGCUGUCGAAGGAGGAGGUGAAGAAGACUGAGAUGGCUCAGAGGGACAGUCUUGAUGGUGCUUUGUUCAUCAUUCUUGCCCAUAAAUACCUCUUCUUGAUGGUGGAAAAGGGCAUUGGCACUUCAACCGCGAAGCAACUUAUUUCUUAGGCAC